rnacentral:rRNA from 1 species
AGUGAACGCUGGCGGUAGGCCUAACACAUGCAAGUCGAACGGCAGCACAGUAAUAGCUUGCUCUUACGGGUGGCGAGUGGCGGAUGAUUGCUGAAUAUCUCGGAAUCUAUUUUUUCGUGCGUGAUAACGCAGGCACACUUACGCUAAUACCGCAUACGACCUACGGGUGAAAGCAGGGGAUCUUCGGACCUUGCGCGAUUGAAUGAGCCGAUGUCGGAUUAGCUAGUUGGCGGGGUAAAGGCCCACCAAGGCGACGAUCCGUAGCUGGUCUGAGAGGAUGAUCAGCCACACUGGAACUGAGACACGGUCCAGACUCCUACGGGAGGCAGCAGUGGGGAAUAUUGGACAAUGGGCGCAAGCCUGAUCCAGCCAUGCCGCGUGGGUGAAGAAGGCCUUCGGGUUGUAAAGCACUUUUGUUGGGGAAGAAAAGCAGCAGGUUAAUACCCCGCUGUUCUGACGGUACCAAAAGAAUAAGCACCGGCUAACUUCGUG